AUGCACUAUUUGGGAUUCCCAUCAUCCUGUCUCCAUUUUGGGGCAUAUUUUGGGGUCAGCGAGUCCUAUUUAGGAUUCCCUCUGUCCCAUCUCCAUUUUGGGGUCGUGAUGCACUAUUUAGGAUUCCCAUCAUCCCGUCUCCAUUUUGGGGCACAUUUUGGGGUCAGUGAGCCCUAUUUAGGAUUCCCUCUGUCCCAUUACCAUUUUGGGGUCAUGAUGCACUAUUUAGGGUUCCCAUCAUCCCAUGUCCAUUUUGGGGCACAUUUUGGGGUCAUGGUGCACUAUUUGGGAUUCCCUCUUUCCCACCCCCAUUUUGGGGCACAUUUUAGGAUCAGCAAGCCCUAUUUCAGAUUCCCUCUGUCCCACCCCCAUUUUGGGGCACAUUUUGGGGUCAGCGAGCCCUAUUUAGGGUUCCCUCUUUCCCACCCCCAUUUUGGGGCACAUUUUGGGGUCGUGAUGCCCUAUUUGGGUUUCCCUCUUUCCCACCACCAUUUUGGGGCCCAUUUUGGGGUCAGUGAGCCCUAUUUAGGAUUCCCUCUGUCCCAUUACCAUUUUGGGGUCAUGAUGCACUAUUUAGGAUUCCCAUCAUCCCAUCCCCAUUUUGGGGCACGUUUUGGGGUCAGCGAGCCCUAUUUAGGAUUCCCUCUUUCCCACCCCCAUUUUGGGGCACAUUUUGGGGUCGUGAUGCACUAUUUGGGAUUCCCUCUGUCCCAUUACCAUUUUGGGGUCAUGAUGCACUAUUUGGGAUUCCCAUCAUCCUGUCUCCAUUUUGGGGCACAUUUUGGGGUCGUGAUGCUCUAUUUGGGAUUCCCUCUGUCCCGCCACCAUUUUGGGGCACAUUUUGGGGUCAGCGAGCCCUAUUUAGGAUUCCCUCCGUCCCAUCACCAUUUUGGGGUCGUGAUGCACUAUUUAGGAUUCCCAUCAUCCCGUCUCCAUUUUGGGGCACAUUUUGGGGUCGUGAUGCACUAUUUGGGUUUCCCUCUUUCCCACCCCCGUUUUUGGGCACAUUUUGGGAUCAGCGAGCCCUAUUUCGGAUUCCCUCUUUCCCAUCACCAUUUUGGGGCACAUUUUGGGGUCAGCGAGCCCUAUUUAGGAUUCCCUCUUUCCCAUCACCAUUUUGGGGUCGUGAUGCACUAUUUGGGAUUCCCUCUGUCCCAUUACCAUUUUGGGAUCAGCGAGCCCUAUUUAGGGUUCCCUCUUUCCCACCCCCAUUUUGGGGCACAUUUUGGGGUCAGCGAGCCCUAUUUGGGAUUCCCUCUUUCCCCCCCCCACUUUGGGGCCCAUUUUGGGAUCAGCGAGCCCUCUUUAGGCUUCCCUCAACCCCAUCCCCACUUUAGUUUCGUGACGCGCUCUUUCCAACCCCCCCUCCUUCCCAUCCCCUUUUCGCUUCUCGCUUUGGGUUUUUCGGGUCUCCCUCACCCCCCCUACCUCCCCCCAACCCCUUUUUUACCUUUCCCCCCCCCACCCCACAGGCCGACAGCUCACCAUCUUCAACAGCCAGGCAGCCGUUCGGGUUGGGGGCCGUGA
rnacentral:lncRNA from 1 species